AAAGAUUUUGACCUCUUUGAGGUCAACAGAAGUUUUAUUGCUCUAACUGCAUGAGAGUCCAGAUCAAGGGACUGCGUAGGAUGCGCUCGGCUCCCAUUGGUUUCUCUCAGCCAACACCUAAACUUGCCCUCAGCAGCAAUAUCUGCACGUUCCCUGAAGCUUCUGGGCCAAAUAGCUCAGGCCAAUGGUGUCCGUAAUGCAGAGACCUCAGCACCCCUUAGGAGGGCACCUUUUGCACCCAUAUUGCAUAUAGCGGUCAAAUUUGAGAGUGCCUCAGCCGUUCCUCUGUGCUUGAGCUCCUUCACUUCUCCGUGCUGAAUUGUGCACAGUGUGGAAAAAGGAGGUCUGGGAAGCAGAUAUGAAGUCAAGAGCAUGAUAGUACAGUUGCAUCCUACAGCCAUAAAACCUACUCAUUCAUGGACUAAUCCACUCUCAUCCUCAAAUGUCAGGGAGAAGGUCAUGCCAGAUCCUUAGCUGACUGUCUUAUGCUUUGUUUAUGUCUCUCUUUUCUCCUCUUCUUUUUUCUAGUUUGGCAAAUAAAGAAACCAGACCACAUACGCCAGCCGCACUCAUUUAGGAGCGCCUGUGUGCCGACUCCCCUGCUCGUGUGGUGAAGGUGUUAUGUCGCCUAGCAGGAGCAGAGCGCUGCACACGCCUGCCACGCAGCUGUAAAUAGCGGGGGCUCGCCGGGCUCAGGGUCAAUGUGUCUGUGCACAGCCCACCUUUCAUGCUUCCGCUCUGCGCUCAAAGCAGAAGUACCAGGCAGCGAGGAAGAGAAAGCUGAGAACGUACCCAUGAGCUGAUGUCCACCUCACGCUCCGCUGCAUGGGCUUUUCCUCUCAUCCAGCACUCAUACGCACUUGCUACGUCAUGUUCCAUUAUGACUUUAUAGCACGUGGCUCCACAUUUCCACUGACAACUGGGGGGAUCUAUGAAGAUUGGCCUCUUUCCGUUGGGCGUGCUUGCUGUAUAAGCUACUGCAGUUCGUCUCUCUCCGCACUGAAUGGCACGUGACCCUGACAGUGAGGUCCCUGUGAUGCUCGUCCACUGGUGAAACUGCUGAGCAGCUGGAGGAGCAAGGGCAUUUUGUUUGCCCCAUGCUGUGGAAGGAAGGCUUAAUUCUUAGUUACAGCGCCUGAAUUGAAACCAUGUAUGCAUUUUUGUUGGUUUUGCUAAACUCAACGGUUGUGCCAAUGAUAGAUCUCUCUCAAAACAGGAAAUUGUUUCCACUGUGUGUGUUGUUCACGAAAAUGUGUGCACCCGUAAGAAUUCCCUGCAUUUCCCUCUUCAGGAUAUAACGUCAGUCAUUUCAGCACCCCUAAAAGUGAAAUAACUCCCUGUUGGGAUGACUCUUAGCCAGACUGAUGUAUAUCUGAUCACUCCCACAGUCUGCUGUGAGGAAUAAGUGAAUCAUCUUCCUUCACGCUGAGUGCUGGCACCUCACAGAAUUUCUCUGGGACUCUUCAAAGCACAAAAAACAGCACAAGCCAGAAUCUUCCCCCAUAUCCGGGACAAGCUACCCAGCUUUUUUGUUCUCAUACCAGCCCUUCUUGUUGCUCAGUUACACUGGGUCAGGUCUGCAGUAAAUUUACAGAUUGUAAAUACUUGGGAACUAGGAGCUGUAUUCUUUAUAAAUACUAUAAAUCAUGGGUAUGCUCUGGGGUAGAGUAAAAUACUUACGAGUAGGAGGAACCAAGGGAUGGCUUGCCUAGCUACGAAGCAGGGCUGAUGGGAAUAAAUGGGUUGUUCUUGAGUGUAAAGGUAUCUUA
ensembl:lncRNA